GGAAUGAGCUCGCAACGCUGAUGUGUAUGGCUCCGUACAAAGUUGUACUCAUUGCAUUAGUAUAGGCUACUUAACUGUAGCUUUUUACACUGGAGGCGCCCAUCUCGGCCGAAGUCGGUUCAUAUUAACGUAAAGGUAAUUGGUGUGGAUAAGAUUGACCUCAGCCUUCCUUUGAACAUUGUUCAAAAGGCUCUGUAGUAAAUGAUUUCUCUCUCAGCUGGAUGUGCUAUCUGACAAACUUCUGAAGGUUUUUGAGAAGAGAGGCGGACAGAUAGGCCAGCGUCUGAACUGUAUUAUGUCAAACAUGACUCAAGUUGAUGAUGUCGAUUUAGGCCGGGAUUGUCUUCUCAAGGGGCUGUGUGUGUACCUCAAUGAGAGAGUUUGUGGCAGAAGAUGAAGACGUCAUUCUGUGGGCCUUUAUGUUGUCAAACACAAUUCCACCAUGAGACCAGAGAACAGAUGAGACCAGAGGACAGAUUGUCCUGGAAGGCCAACAGGUACUAACUGAUGUGGACAACAUUGCAUUAGCUGCUACCAUGCUGUUUGGACUAAUGUAUGCAAUGAACCUGAACGACCCGCCUAAACUGAAGUGCACGUUCAAAGUGAUCCAGCAAAUGUUAAUGGAGCUAGACGGCAACAUGCUCUCCAAGAAAGCCCAAGCGUUUAAAAACAAACUGUUUGAGUGAGCUGUUGCCAAGGACCAUUGUGCACUUUUACAGCAUUCAUACUGGACUUUCAUCGAUACAACUGUCUUGCACUUCCUUUGCUCAUGCUUUUUGCUUGAUUUGCAUAUUUCAGAAAUGUGGGUUUUUCCUGGGGUCAUGUGUUUUCAGAAUGUACCACUUGUCAUGUGUUUCACAAUGUACUAAUUGCACUAAUUGUACUAAUGUACUAACUUCAAAAUGUCAGUUCUUGUUUUUAUUUGUAAUACUUUCUUUAGUGCAUAUGUGGUGAGAAACCAGGCCAUUAUUAUACUUCCAUGUAUUUUUCCAAAGCAAUGCCAUUGCUUUUUUGCAUUAAAGUGCCCUUUCAUAUUAGCAGGUUACUAUUUAAAUAAUGGAUUUGCAAGAACAUUUCCUUUUUUCGGCUAGGUUGACAUUUUCUGUUAAUUGUUUACUAUGAAUGAGUUACAAAAAUAAGCCUUUCUUUGCCAUUUGGCCCAAUAAACCUUUAUUUUGGUCAGGAGAAUAGUUUCCUUUAAGCUUGCUUGCUGUGUAAUAACACAAUAAUGUAUAUGUACAUGCAUCACAAACAUUUUCUAUUUCUUCUAUUUCUUUAUUUUCAAUGUAUUUGUUAAUUCUCCUGAGGCUGCAUGAUGGAAAAACCAAAAGCUCAUCUGGAUGUGUGGUGGUUGUUAAUAUUGUUUUAUUUUUUGAGAAAAAUACAUGAAUGUUGUUCAAAGAAA